rnacentral:rRNA from 1 species
UCCGCGGCCGCAGAGUUUGAUCAUGGCUCAGAACGAACGCUGGCGGCAUGCCUAACACAUGCAAGUCGAACGAGACCUUCGGGUCUAGUGGCGCACGGGUGCGUAACGCGUGGGAACCUGCCUUGAGGUUCGGAAUAACUCAGAGAAAUUUGAGCUAAUACCGGAUGAUGUCUUCGGACCAAAGAUUUAUCGCCUUUAGAUGGGCCCGCGUUGGAUUAGCUAGUUGGUGGGGUAAAGGCCUACCAAGGCGACGAUCCAUAGCUGGUCUGAGAGGAUGAUCAGCCACACUGGGACUGAGACACGGCCCAGACUCCUACGGGAGGCAGCAGUGGGGAAUAUUGGACAAUGGGCGAAAGCCUGAUCCAGCAAUGCCGCGUGAGUGAUGAAGGCCUUAGGGUUGUAAAGCUCUUUUACCAGGGAUGAUAAUGACAGUACCUGGAGAAUAAGCUCCGGCUAACUCCGUGCCAGCAGCCGCGGUAAUACGGAGGGAGCUAGCGUUGUUC